rnacentral:rRNA from 1 species
CGUGCAGGCGGUUACGUAAGUCGGACGUGAAAGCUCCUGGCUUAACUGGGAGAGGUCGUUCGAUACUGCGAGACUUGAGGUCGGGAGAGGGACGUGGAAUUCCCGGUGUAGUGGUGGAAUGCGUAGAUAUCGGGAGGAACACCAGUGGCGAAGGCGGCGUCCUGGCCCGCACCUGACGCUGAGACGCGAAAGCGUGGGUAGCGAACG